rnacentral:rRNA from 1 species
UACAGAGGGUGCAAACGUUGUUCGGAAUUACUGGGCGUAAAGCGCGUGCAGGCGGCCUUGCAAGUCGGACGUGAAAUCCCACGGCUCAACCGUGGAAGUGCAUUCGAAACUGCGAGGCUGGAGUCCUGGAGAGGAAAGUGGAAUACUCGGUGUAGAGGUGAAAUUCGUAGAUAUCGAGAGGAACACCUGCGGCGAAGGCGGGUUGCUGGGCUGACACUGACGCUGAUGCGCGAAAGCCAGGGGAGCGAACGGG